rnacentral:lncRNA from 1 species
CAUCCUUAACAGUACAAAUUUAAGCAUCAUGACAAAAACUCUAAGUUCAACACUUAGCUAUGAAUGUUUUUCUAAAAUAAACUCAUAUCAAGUACAAACCCAACUCAUUUCUCAUAAUGAACAUACAACACAUAAAAGAAGUUCAAAAUCAUGCAAUCUAAGAAAAAUAAAACUAAACCAAAGACUCAAACAAUGAAGCCAUGCUUAGCAUUUUGUGUUUUAAUUCAUACUUCGAAUUACAACUUCACAUGAUGUGGGAUUCAGGAAAGUGUACCUGAAAAUAAAAAGAAAUAAGAAAUGAAGGGUCAGCAGCAAAAAUAGCAGAAAUUAACACCAACAGAACCAAUUUCGAACAACAAUAAUAUGCAGUAGUCCAAAAACCAGUUUCAACCGAGCAAUAACCACAACAAACUUCAAACCAAACUUUUAAAACCCUAGUUCAGUCCAUUUUUACCCUAGAUGGAUCAGAAAUUAUUUCAGAAAUUGAAACUUCAAGAAAUAUCAGAAGAGAACUUAAUGGAAUAGUAAUUUUAUUGAAAUUUCUUAGUUGUUUUCGAUGUUUUUCUCUAAAUUUUUGGCCUUCAAAAUAUCUUCUAAAAUCUGAUGAAAAAUCUCUUCAAAAUCUU